rnacentral:rRNA from 1 species
UACGUAGGGUCCGAGCGUUUGUCCGGAAUUAUUGGGCGUAAAGGGCUCGUAGGCGGUUUGUCACGUCGGGAGUGAAAACUCAGGGCUCAACCCUGAGCGUGCUUCCGAUACGGGCAGACUAGAGGUAUGCAGGGGGAGAACGGAAUUCCUGGUGUAGCGGUGGAAUGCGCAGAUAUCAGGAGGAACACCGGUGGCGAAGGCGGUUCUCUGGGCAUUACCUGACGCUGAGGAGCGAAAGCAUGGGGAGCGAACAGG